AGUGUCGAUCAUCGAUUCGUGAAAUCAUAUUCGCGCGGCCGCGGAAUCGCGCACGUUUCUCGUUCGGAAGGACGCGGACGGGCGAAGGGCCGUGGCGAUGGGCGCGCUUGCGGUCGAAAAAGUCGUCCUCCGCUAAAAUUCAAACAAGCGAUAAGCUUUCGCGGGAGAUGGGCUAUUUUAUUGAUCGGAGAAAGAGAAAAGCUAGAGGGUGAGAGCGGGACCGGAUAGGAGGACGACAGAGAAGGUGCGGGGCAGCGGCGGGGAAAGGGCGAGGAAGAUGAAGGGCGGUGAUGGGGCGAGGGGAGAGCAGCGUGACGGUAAGCGGAGUGCAUGCUGCGUCUUGUUUAGCGGCGUCGGAAAAGCCGGUGAGCGACAAGCACGGACUGCGGCACGCGACGCCGAGUACGAGAGGUGGGUUUGGGGAGAAGAAAGAGAGGGGGAGGGAGAGAGGGAUGAAGGGUGGUCAUCAUCGAUACCGGAUGCCUCGGUGCCGGAAGUAUUGAUGCCUCUAUAUUACGUUAUUGCGUCCAUGAUGUAACGAGAGCGACACAGCCGCCGGGCGUUACUGACGUCGUGGAUUAGGAAUUUGUCGAAGGUGAAGGGAAACAGAUUUUUGAUCCGCUCGCACAUCGAUCUACUAAUGUCGCCACGCCAUUGUGCCACGUGUUUGCACGUCUUUUUACAUUG